UCAUAAUCUCAACAAAAGAAAAAAGAAAGCUUCCAAUCUCAUUUUAUCUCCAUUACUUUCUACACCAAAAUUGGGUCCCACAACCCGGUUCUUUGUCUAGAGGAUAGCAGUUGAGUACUAGUGGUGGUCUCGGGUAGAAUUGGUAAGAAGACAUCAAACCUUUUGAAAGCUUCAAAGGUAAUACUUCUUAAAACCCUAAUUUGAUUAGUUUAUGGUUACAUGUUAAUUGUGGCAAUUAGGGUAGAAAUUCGAUUCUUUUUCCGCUGUGCAUGACUUAGUUCUAUCAUGUGGUAUCAGAGCAUGCUUCAUUUUUACCCAAUUGCAUGUGGUGGGUUCAUAUUUAUUAGAUAAAUUUUGGUUUGAACUAAAAUGGAUAUAUUAUGAUUUUGGCUCUAGAUUAAGUGUUUUUGUUCUAAUUAUUGUAAUUAGCCUUGUUAAUGGCUUAUUUUUAUUGUUGCAAAGUGUUUGUAAUUUUUUAAAAAAAUAAAAAAAGUCAUUAGAGUUGAAGCUAGGCUGUAAUUGGUUCAACCGGGUGAGAGAAUUGAAAAAAAUGAAGAAAAGAAGGUCACAGACCCGAAAACCCGGUUUUGACCCGCUUCGCGACCCGCACGCGCCCGCAUGCCCGCGCGCCCUCCUGCGCCCGCGCGCCCUCCUGCGCUCCUGCGUCCGCACGCGCCCCGCGCGCCCGCGCGCCCUCCUGCGCCCGCGCGCCCUCCUGCGCCCGCGCGCCUGCAUGCGCCCGCGCGCCCGCAUGUGCCGCGCGCCCGCAUGCGCCCGCGCGCCCGCAUGCGCCCGCGCGCCCGCCAUCGCCGCGCGCCCGCCUUCGCCCGCGCGCCUGCCUUCGCACGACCCGUGUGCGCCUGGGCCGGUUCAAGCCAAUAAAUUUGGUUUUUGGGCCGGUUCAAGCGGUUUCGGUUGGUUUUUUAGCCGGUUCGAAAUUUUUGGGAGUGGUUCUGUACUACACCAAAUUAAUUAUGUAAUAAUUUAGCACUUAGCUUAAUUUAGGAGCCAAAAAUCAGUCCAUUUUAGGGUGUUUUUUUUAUUUAUGCAUGUGAUGUAUGAUUAAAUUACUUUAAAUUUGUAUGUGCAUUUUGAAUGUCAUAUAGAUUUAAAAUCCCACCAUAGGUUAACAUGUUCAUGCAUUAAAAUGUAUGAUAUAAAGGUUAUAUUGUAUUGUAUGCAUGUUAAUUGAUUAAUAUGGAAAUUAAUUAAUAUGAUUAAUUAAUUAUUUAAUUAAUUAAGUUAUUCUUGAUUAAAUAUGAUUUAAUCAAAUUAAUUAAUUAUUGUUUGAUUUAAUUUAAUUAAAUAUGAUUUAAUUAAAGUUAAAUAAAUUAAAAUCCAUAUUAAUUGAUUGUUUUUAUUAUAUAUUGAUAAAAUGAUUGAUUAAGUUUAAAAGUUUUUAUAAGUGUUAUAAAAUAAAUUAGACUUUUAAAAUCAAUAACAAAGAUUAAAUGCAUGCUCACUUAGGUUAAACAUAUCUUCCAUUUUUCAUAGAAAUAGGUCGAUAUCUUGUAAAACUGGUUACAAAAGGCUCACCUGGUUCAAUCUUGUCAACAAGUCAGAUAAGAUGACUAAGGUUGGAGGUUCUUAAGUUGACGGUUUACGGAACACCUCCUACCUGGAGAUCGUAAUCAGUUCUUGAGCCUAGUUAACCUAGUUUUAUGAGCAUUCGUGAGAGGUGUGAGGUAAUAAAAAUGGUUUUUCACCUAGACAUCAUAGGUUAAAAUCCUGUAUAAUGGUUAUACUUGGAUGUUUUAUCUAGACUUAAGAUUUGUUUAAGUUAGCCUAAAUAUAAAUCUUGAAGUUUGGAUUACCCUAUUUUUUUCUUUUAGAACACUUCAACUAGAGAAAAAUAAUGUAUUUUAGCUCUAGUGUCCCUAAGAGUUCACACCGUGAGGUCCAUGCAGGGCUUUGUGCCGUGCAUAGGAGCGGCCUCCCUUCGGAGAGUGUUUGCAUGGAUCAAAAUCAAGGUGAAUAGGGGAAGUAGUUCAUAGUAAGUGGGUGAGGGAUUUGUGGCAGCACAUCCCACGGUCUCUUCCAUUAGGUCGCACCGUGAGAUUUCUAUAAUAUGCCUGCUUGUCUGCCCUGGAGCGACGUUCCCUUCGGAGGGUUGUAUUAUAGGAUUCGGAACACCGCGAACUCCAAAACUGGAUAGGAUUUCUUAGAUUAGUUUUCAUAAAUGAUUCUAAUCUAUAAAAUCUGAAAAUGGUGGGUAACACUUACAAGAAUUACUAAGUUGUUAGUAUAUUCUUGACUAAAGUAGCGAUAACUAAGUGCUAUAAAGAAUAAAGAGUUAUUCUUGAGAUAGCAUCUAGUCAAGAUUGUCUUGGUUCAAAGGAGGAAUAAUCAACUACCCUUCGGAGAAGGUUGUUCUAAACCUUUGAAAUAUUGUUGCAAAAUACAAAUAAUGAAAGGGUACAUUAUUAGUAAUUGCUAAAUUAGAUUGGAUAUUUUUUAUGAUUAUAGUUUUUUUCCUAAAAAGAAUAUGUUUGUUUUUCAGCAUGAAUAGCUCAAUAGUUCGACUUUUAGCUUCCGAAAAACUUAAUGGCGAUAAUUAUGCGGCUUGGAAAUCAAAUCUUAACACAAUACUAGUGGUUGGUGAUUUAAGAUUUGUCUUAACUGAGGAAUGUCCUCAAAACCCUGCCUCUAAUGAUAACCGAACUAGUCGGGAUGCAUAUGAUCGAUGGAUAAAAGCUAAUGAAAAAGCCCGUGUCUACAUUCUUGCCAGCAUGUCUGAUGUAUUGGCAAAGAAACAUGAAUCCUUAGCCACGGCUAAAGAGAUUAUGAAUUCAUUAAGGGGAAUGUUUGGGCAACCAGAAUUGUCCUUAAGACACGAGGCAGUCAAAUACAUUUACACUAAGCGUAUGAAGGAAGGGACCUCUGUUAGAGAACAUGUUCUGGACAUGAUGAUGCACUUCAACAUCGCUGAAGUGAAUGGUGGUCCCAUCGAAGAGGUUAAUCAAGUUAGUUUUAUCUUAGAGUCUCUUCCGAAGAGCUUCAUUCCAUUCCAAACGAAUGCGUCUUUGAACAAGAUAGAAUUUAACUUGACAACCCUUCUGAAUGAACUCCAGCGAUUCCAAAACCUUACUGUGGGUAAAGGAAAACAAGUGGAAGCAAAUGUUGCUACCACAAAAAGAAAAUUUAUAAGAGGAUCGUCCUCUAAAACCAAAGCUGGACCCUCAAAACCUAAUGCUCAAAUAAAAAAGAAGGGAAAGGGAAAGACUCCCAAACAGAACAAGGGUAAGAAAGGUGCAGAAAAAGGUAAGUGUUACCAUUGUGGCCAAAACGGGCACUGGUUAAGAAACUGCCCAAAAUACCUUGCAGAAAAAAAGGCAGAGAAGGAAACACAAGGUAAAUAUGAUUUACUAGUUGUAGAAACAUGUUUAGUGGAAUAUGAAAAUUGUACCUGGAUACUAGAUUCAGGAGCCACUAAACCAUAUUUGCUUCUCAUUUCAGGAAAAUAGUUCUUGAAAAAGCUUUCAGAAGGCGAGAUCACUCUCAAGGUUGGAACAGGAGAGAUGGUCUCAACUUCAGCAGUGGGAGAUUUAAAGUUGUUUUUUAGAGAUAGAUAUGUCAUACUUAAGAAUGUCUUAUAUGUACCUCAAAUGAAAAGAAAUUUAAUAUCUAUCUCUUGUAUUUUGGAACAAAUGUAUAGAAUAUCUUUUGAAAUUAAUGAAGCGUUCGUUUUCUAUAAAGGUAUUCUAGUUUGUUCUGCUAUACUUGAAGACAACUUAUAUAAGUUAAGACCAACUAGAGCAAAUUUUGUCUUAAAUACUGAAAUAUUCAGAACAGCUGAAAACUCAGAAUAAAAGACAAAAAGUUUCUUCUAAUGCCUAUUUAUGGCACUUAAGACUUGGUCACAUAAAUCUCAAUAGGAUUGGGAGAUUGGUUAAAAGUGGGCUUCUAAGUCCGUUAGAAGAUAACUCUUUACCUCCUUGUGAAUCUUGUCUUGAAGGAAAAAUGACCAAGAGAUCUUUUACUGGAAAAGGUCUAAGAGCCAAAGGACCCUUAGAGCUCGUACAUUCGGACCUUUGUGGACCAAUGAAUGUCAAAACUCGAGGUGGAUAUGAAUAUUUCAUUAGCUUCAUUGAUGAUUAUUCAAGGUAUGGUCAUAUUUACCUAAUACAUCAUAAGUCUAAUAGUCUUGAAAAGUUCAAAGAAUAUAAGGCUGAAGUAGAAAACGAAUUAGGUAAAACAAUAAAAAUACUUCGAUCAGAUCGAGGUGGAGAGUAUAUGGACUUACGAUUCCGAGACUAUUUAAUAGAAAAUGGAAUCCAGUCACAACUCUCUGCACCUAGUACACCUCAACAGAACGGUGUAUCAGAAAGAAGAAACUGGACCUUGUUAGACAUGGUUCGCUCUAUGAUGAGUUUUUCUCAGAUGUCAGAUUCUUUUUGGGAUAUGCUUUAGAAACAGCUGCUUAUAUUUUGAAUAAUGUUCCCUCUAAAAGUGUUUCAGAAACACCUUAUGAGCUAUGGAAAGGGCGUAAAGGCAGUUUACGUCAUUUUAAAAUUUGGGGUUGUCCAGCACAUGUGUUGGUACAAAAUCCAAAGAAAUUGGAACAUCGUUCAAAAUUAUGCUUUUUUAUAGGUUAUCCAAAAGAAUCAAGAGGUGGUUUGUUUUAUGAUCCUCAAGAAAAUAAAAUAUUUGUGUCAACAAAUGCCACAUUCUUAGAGGAAGACCACAUCAGGGAUCAUCAACCUCGUAGUAAACUAGUAUUUAAAGAAAUUUCCAAAAGUGCUAUAGAUAAAACCUAGUUCAUCCACUAAAGUAGUUGAUAAGACUAGGAAAUCUGGUCAAUCACAUCCUUCUCAACAGUUGAGAGAGCCUCGACGUAGUGGGAGGGUUGUUCAUCAGCCUGAUCGCUAUUUGGGUUUAAUUGAAACUCAAGUCGUCAUACCUGACGAUGGCAUAGAGGAUCCAUUAACCUAUAAACAGGCAAUGAAAGAUGUAGAUCGUGACCAAUGGAUCAAAGCCAUGGACCUCGAAAUGGAGUCUAUGUACUUUAAUUCUUUCUAGACUCUAGUAGAUCAACCAAAUGACGUAAAACCUAUUGGUUGUAAAUGGAUCUACAAGAGAAAACGAGACCAUGCCGGUAAAGUACAGACUUUUAAGGCUCGACUUGUGGCAAAGGGUUAUACCUAGAGAGAGGGAGUAGACUAGAGGAAACUUUCUCUCCCGUUGCCAUGUUAAAGUCAAUUAGAAUACUCUUAUCCAUCGCCACUUUUUAUGAUUAUGAAAUUUGGCAGAUGGAUGUCAAGACAGCUUUUUUGAACGGUAAUCUUGAAGAGAGUAUCUAUAUGUCUCAACCAGAGGGGUUUAUAAAACAAGAUCAAGAACAAAAGGUUUGUAAGCUUAAAAAAUCCAUUUAUGGAUUAAAACAAGCUUCUAGAUCCUGGAAUAUAAGAUUUGAUAUUGCGAUCAAAAUCUUAUGGCUUUGAACAAAAUGUUGACGAGCCUUGUGUUUACAAAAGGUCGUCAAUUCCAUUAUAGCAUUUUUUAGUCUUAUAUGUAGAUGAUAUUCUACUUAUUGGAAAUGACUAGGAUAUCUUCCUGAUAUCAAGAAAUGGCUAGCUAUGCAAUUUCAAAUGAAAGAUCUGGGAGAUGCACAAUACGUUCUCGGAAUCCAAAUUGUUCGAAACCGUAAGAACAAAACACUAGCCAUGUCUCAAGCAUCUUACAUAGACAAAAUGUUGUCUAGAUAUAAAAUGCAGAAUUCCAAAAAGGGUCUGCUGCCGUACAGAUAUGGAAUUCAUUUGUCAAAGGAACAAUGUCCUAAGACACCUCAAGAAGUUGAGGAUAUGAGAAAUAUUCCCUAUGCUUCCGCUGUUGGAAGUUUAAUGUAUGCAAUGUUAUGUACUAGACCUGACAUUUGCUACUCAGUAGGGAUGGUCAGUAGGUAUCAAUCCAAUCAUGGACGUGAUCACUGGACAGCCGUUAAAAACAUUCUACAUGCUCAUGUAUCGUACAAAGGAUCUGAUCCUUACUGGAUACACUGAUUCAGAUUUCCAAACUGAUAAAGAUGUUAGAAAGUCUACAUCAGAUCAGUAUUUACUCUAAAUGGAGGAGCAGUAGUUUGGAGAAGCAUAAAGCAAACUUGUAUAGCUGAUUCCACAAUGGAAGCUGAUCAUUUUACAAAAGCCCUCACGGCUAAAGUGUUUGAGGGUCACCUACACAGUUUAGGUGUACGAUGUUUGUAAACUAGGACAAGUGGGAGACUUAUUGGCCAUGUGCCCUAGUUUCAUAUAUAUUCUCUCACACCACAUCUCUCAUACCACUAGGAAUUUUAGUCCAAGUGGGAGUUUGUUGGAAUUUUUUGUCCUAAAACUCGUAGUUUGUAAAUCAUAUUCUAUUCAAUAAAGUUGUUAUUGAGAAAUUAAAUAUUAUAAUCUUAAAUCCAAUAAAUCAAAGUUCCAAGGCUAUUUUUUGAAUAAACUUGAACUUUAUGUGUAAACAUAAACGUGGAUCAAGUUCGAGUAUAUAGCCUAAAUAGUCUAUAGUAUAUGAAAUAAAGGUUGGGCGCCUUAUUUUGAGAGACUAUGGAUGCGGCCCACUUUGUAGUACAAACGAUGUGAUCCUAAUCGUUCAUGUAGAGACAUGAAAGUGGGGGCAUCCUAUGUAAAAUGUUUACAUAAGACUGAACCAUGAAUUAGUCAUUUUUACGUUAUAACACCGUUUACUGUUUAAAACUGACUAUCUCAAUUAUUGAUGACCUAGGUAACUUAGUCUUAAUCCUGAGUUAACUAUGAACUCCUGUUCAUACGAGAUUAUCCUUAGAUCUGCAUAGGUGAGGGCAGCUCAUCAGCGUUGGCCCAAUAAGCCUCCCAUUUCAGGGGUAAGAUCGGGUGGAUAGCUGGGAACAUAGGGUACAAGAUGGAAUUCACUCCUACCCGCUUUAGGGUUAGUAGAUAGGUUGCUCUCUUAAGCACUGAAUCCAAGUCUUGAACAAGGGGCCCCACCCUCUCAUUGGCCCGAGAGGGAUUAAGUUUAUAGGUUGAACCUUAAACCAAUUGUUCAAUAGUGGAUUAGUGGGACUUAAGGAGCAAGAUGUAAUCUUGGGGGUAAAACGGUAUUUUGACCCAGCCAAGGUUACGAGCAACCUGUGAAGGAUUAACUUACUGAUUAUGGUUUUAUCAAAUGGACACAAAUAUAUCUAUAGUGAGGGGAGUGCAACUACGGGACUUUAGUGGAAUGACCCGUUAGUUAACGAAUGUUGAUUAACUCGGUUUAAAAGAGUUUAGCUAGUUAAUCUUGAAUCGUUGGAGCCCAUGAUCUAUAGGUCCAUUAGGUUCCUCUGCUAGCUCAUAUGGAUUAAACUUAGAACAGUGUGAUGAAAUAAGUCGAAUUGUUCGAAUAGGGAGAAGAAAGGAAAACCGACAUAUACAGUGAUAUAAUCGUCGGUCUUCUAAUUAGAAAUAGAGCUUUAUGUUUUACAUACUAUAAGUAUGAAUGCGGAUUCAUACUAAGAAGCUCGGAAUUGGUCAAAAAUAGUAAAAAGUCAAAAUGUUGACUUUUGACUUUGAAAAGUCAAACUUUGACCGGCCUUAUAUUCAAAUGUGAUUUGAAUUUUGGAAAAAUGAAUGCGGAUUCAUGCUCGGGAGGUUGGAAUUAGUCAAGACGGACAAAAUGGUAAAAAGUCAAAAUAUUGACUUUUGACUUAGAAAAGUCAAAGUUUGACUUUUGACUAGAAAAAUCUAAUGACCAUUUUACCCUUGGACUAAGUUAGUGGGAAAAUCCAACAUUUUGUUGGAUAAUCCCACUAACUCUUAGUGGGAUAUGUGGCUAUAUGAGAUAUAGACACCUAGCCCACUAAGUUCCACUAAUUGUUAGUGGAAUAUUAGGUGUUGAGAUUUGGCAAUUGAAUUGCAUGCAUUUUUGCAUGUAAUUAGGCUAUAAAUAGAGAUGUUUUCAAAUGUUGAAGGACUUUUGCCUCUUUUAUCAUUUUCAUAAUCUCAACAAAAGAAAAAAGAAAGCUUCCAAUCUCAUUUUAUCUCCAUUACUUUCUACACCAAAAUUGGGUCCCACAACCCGGUUCUUUGUCUAGAGGAUAGCAGUUGAGUACUAGUGGUGGUCUCGGGUAGAAUUGGUAAGAAGACAUCAAACCUUUUGAAAGCUUCAAAGGUAAUACUUCUUAAAACCCUAAUUUGAUUAGUUUAUGGUUAGAUGUUAAUUGUGGCAAUUAGGGUAGAAAUUCGAUUCUUUUUCCGCUGUGCAUGAAUUAGUUCUAUC
rnacentral:lncRNA from 1 species